rnacentral:rRNA from 1 species
GACGAACCGUGCGAACGUUAUUCGGAAUCACUGGGCUUAAAGCGCGUGUAGGCGGAUGGGAACGUCGGUCGUUGAAAUCCCCCGGCUCAACCGGGGAAUGGGCGCCGAAACGACCUGUCUGGAGGGACGUAGGGGGACCUGGAACUUCCGGUGGAGCGGUGAAAUGCGUUGAGAUCGGAAGGAACGCCCGUGGCGAAAGCGAGGUCCUGGACGUCUACUGACGCUGAGACGCGAAAGCUAGGGUAGCGAACGGG